AAUAGGCUUGGUCCUGGCCUUUCUAUUAGCUCUUAGCAAGAUUACACAUGCAAGCAUCCCCGCCCCGGUGAAGACGCCCUAUAGAUCAUCAUGACCUAGAGGAGCAAGUAUCAAGCACGCACACGCAGCUCAAAACACUUUGCCUGGCCACACCCCCACGGGAGACAGCAGUGACAAAUAUUUAGCAAUGAACGAAAGUUCAACUAAGCUAUGCUAUAUUUAGGGUUGGUCAAUUUCGUGCCAGCCACCGCGGUCACACGAUUAGCCCUAGCCAAUAGAGAUCGGCGUAGAGGGUGUUUAAGAUCUAACAUAAUAAAGCUAAACUCCACCUAAACUGUAAAAUCCUAGCUGAUGUAAAAUAAACUACGAAAGUGGCUUUAAAGCUUCUGAACACACGAUAGCCAGGACCCAAACUGGGAUUAGACACCCUACUAUGCUUGGCCCUAAACCUCAGUAGUUAGAUAACAAAACUACUCGCCAGAAUACUACAAGCAACAGCUUAAAACUCAAAGGACUUGACGGUGCUUUACAUCCCCCUAGAGGAGCCUGUUCCGUAAUCGAUAAACCCCGAUCCACCCCACCCUCUCUUGCUCAGCCUAUAUACCGCCAUCUUCAGCAAACCCUGAUAAAGGUCACAAAGUGAGCGCAAACGCCACCACCGCGAAGACGUUAGGUCAAGGUGUAGCCUAUGAGACGGUAAAAAAUGGGCUACAUUUUCUGUAUCAGAAAAUUCUACGAAAACCCCUAUGAAAUCUAAGGGUCCAAGGAGGAUUUAGCAGUAAAUUAAGAAUAGAGUGCUUAAUUGAACCAGGCCAUAAAGUGCGCACACACCGCCCGUCACUCCUCUCAAAUAUAUUUAAGGAAUAUUCUAACUAAACGCCCAAAUAUUUAUAUAGAGAGGAUAAGUCGUAACAUGGUAAGCGUACUGGAAGGUGCGCUUGGA
rnacentral:ncRNA from 1 species